GAACGGGGUGAGUAAUAUAUCGGAACGUACUGGAAGUGGGGGAUAACGCAGCGAAAGUUGCGCUAAUACCUGCAUAUUCUCUCUGGAGGAAAGUGGGGGCUCGCAAGACCUCAUGCUUUCGGGAGCGGCCGUAUAUCUGAUUAGCUAGUUGGUGAGGUAAAGGCUCACCAAGGCAUCGAUCAGUAGCUGGUCUGAGAGGACGACCAGCCACACUAGGAACUGAGACACGGUCCAGACUCCAUACGGGAGGCAGCAGUGGGGAAUUUUGGACAAUGGGGGCAACCCUGAUCCAGCAAUGCCGCGUGAGUGAAGAAGGCCUUCGGGUUGUAAAGCUCUUUUGUCCGGGAAGAAACGGUGGUCUCUAAUACAGAUUACUAAUGACGGUACCGGAAGGAAUAAGCACCGGCUAACUACGUGCCAGCAGCCGGGUAAUACGUAGGGUGCAAGCGUUAAUCGGAAUUACUGGGCGUAAAGCGUGGCAAGGGGGUUAUGUAAGUCAGAUGUGAAAUCCCGGGGUUUAACCUGGGAAUGGCAUUU
rnacentral:rRNA from 1 species